rnacentral:rRNA from 1 species
UAUUGGUCAAUGGCCCAACGGCUGAACCAGCAAUUUGGGGGAAUGGAGGUAUAUAUCCAAUGAUGCAUAUAUACACAUCGACUACGUCGUAUAAAAUUCUAAAUAGAUAAUUGAUUAUGACAGAUUUCUAUUUAUGUGUCUCGACCAAUUCUUGUGCCAGCAGUCGCGGCAACACAAGUGAGACUAGUGUUAUUCAUCUUUAUUAGGUUUAAAGGGUACCUAGACGGUUUUUUUAGCCUGAAAAGUGUACAAAAAAACUAGAGUUUUAUAUGAGAGGUAAAUAUUAGGACUAUUGGUGUAGAGAUGAAAUUUUUUGAUACUAAUUGUAUGUAUAAUGGCGAAGGCGAGCCUCUAUUUAUAAACUGACGUUAAGGGACGAAGGCUUGGGGAGCGAAUAGGAUUAGAUACCCUAGUAGUCCAGGCAGAAAAUUAUGAAUGUUAUAUAUUAAAUGCUUUUAUAAUAAUAUCAUAUUAGAAACGCAGCUAUUAUUUAGUAUUGUAGUUAUUAAAACUAUAUAAUAAUAUAAUAUGCUCUUGUUAAUUAAUGUAUAAAUGAAAGUGUAAGCAUUCCACCUCAAGAGUAAUGUGGCAACGCAGGAACUGAAAUCAUUAGACCGUUUGUGAAACCAGUAGUGAAGUAUGUUAUUUA